rnacentral:rRNA from 1 species
AAGAGACAGCAGUAGCCACGGUAAUACAGAGGGUGCGAGCGUUAAUCGGAUUUACUGGGCGUAAAGCGUGCGUAGGCGGCUUCUUAAGUCGGAUGUGAAAUCCCUGAGCUUAACUUAGGAAUUGCAUUCGAUACUGGGAAGCUAGAGUAUGGGAGAGGAUGGUAGAAUUCCAGGUGUAGCGGUGAAAUGCGUAGAGAUCUGGAGGAAUACCGAUGGCGAAGGCAGCCAUCUGGCCUAAUACUGACGCUGAGGUACCAAAGCAUGGGGAGCAAACAGGAUUAGAUACCCCCGUAGUCCCUGUCUCUUAUAC